UAGCCUAGUGGUUAAGGCUAUGGGUCGCCAAUCCAGAGACGGCGGGUUCGAUUCCCGU
rfam:Aedes albopictus isolate Foshan contig10170, whole genome shotgun sequence.